GUGGCGAACUGGUGAGUAUACACGUGGGAAACCUGCCCAGAAGCGGGGGAUAACACCUGGAAACACGAUGCUAAUACCGCAUAACAACUUGGACCGCAUGGUCCGAGUUUGAAAGAUGGCUUCGGCUAUCACUUUUGGAUGGUCCCGCGGCGUAUUAGCUAGAUGGUGGGGUAACGGCUCACCAUGGCAAUGAUACGUAGCCGACCUGAGAGGGUAAUCGGCCACAUUGGGACUGAGACACGGCCCAAACUCCUACGGGAGGCAGCAGUAGGGAAUCUUCCACAAUGGACGAAAGUCUGAUGGAGCAACGCCGCGUGAGUGAAGAAGGGUUUCGGCUCGUAAAACUCUGUUGUUAAAGAAGAACAUAUCUGAGAGUAACUGUUCAGGUAUUGACGGUAUUUAACCAGAAAGCCACGGCUAACUACGUGCCAGCAGCCGCGGUAAUACGUAGGUGGCAAGCGUUGUCCGGAUUUAUUGGGCGUAAAGCGAGCGCAGGCGGUUUUUUAAGUCUGAUGUGAAAGCCUUCGGCUCAACCGAAGAAGUGCAUCGGAAACUGGGAAACUUGAGUGCAGAAGAGGACAGUGGAACUCCAUGUGUAGCGGUGAAAUGCGUAGAUAUAUGGAAGAACACCAGUGGCGAAGGCGGCUGUCUGGUCUGUAACUGACGCUGAGGCUCGAAAGUAUGGGUAGCAAACAGGAUUAGAUACCCUGGUAGUCCAUACCGUAAACGAUGAAUGCUAAGUGUUGGAGGGUUUCCGCCCUUCAGUGCUGCAGCUAACGCAUUAAGCAUUCCGCCUGGGGAGUACGGCCGCAAGGUCUGAAACUCAAAGGAAUUGACGGGGGCCCGCACAAGCGGUGGAGCAUGUGGUUUAAUUCGAAGCUACGCGAAGAACCUUACCAGGUCUUGACAUACUAUGCAAAUCUAAGAGAUUAGACGUUCCCUUCGGGGACAUGGAUACAGGUGGUGCAUGGUUGUCGUCAGACUCGUGUCGUGAGAUGUUGGGUUAAGUCCCGCAACGAGCGCAACCCUUAUUAUCAGAUUGCCAGCAUUAAGUUGGGCACUCUGGUGAGACUGCCGGUGACAAACCGGAGGAAGGUGGGGAUGACGUCAAAUCAUCAUGCCCCUUAUGACCUGGGCUACACACGUGCUACAAUGGAUGGUACAACGAGUUGCGAACUCGCGAGAGUAAGCUAAUCUCUUAAAGCCAUUCUCAGUUCGGAUUGUAGGCUGCAACUCGCCUACAUGAAGUCGGAAUCGUCUAGUAAUCGCGGAUCAGCAUGCCGCGGUGAAUACGUUCCCGGGCCUUGUACACACCGCCCGUCACACCAUGAGAGUUUGUAACACCCAAAGUCGGUGGGGUAACCUUUUAGGAACCAGCCGCCUAAGGUGGGACAGAUGAUUAGGGUGAAGUCGUAACA
rnacentral:rRNA from 1 species